rnacentral:rRNA from 1 species
GACGAACGCUGGCGGCGUGCUUAACACAUGCAAGUCGAACGGUGAAGCGCCUUCCUUUUUGGUGGGUGUGGAUGAGUGGCGAACGGGUGAGUAACACGUGAGUAACCUGCCCCCUUCUUCUGGAUAACCGCAUGAAAGUGUGGCUAAUACGGGAUAUUCUGGGUCUGUCGCAUGAUGGGUCUGGGAAAGAUAUUGUUUCGGUGGGGGAUGGGCUCGCGGCCUAUCAGCUUGUUGGUGGGGUGAUGGCCUACCAAGGCGGUGACGGGUAGCCGGCCUGGGAGGGUGGGCGGUCACACUGGGACAGAGGCAAGGCCCAGACUCCUACGGGAGGCAGCAGUGGGGAAUAUUGCACAAUGGGCGCAAGCCUGAUGCAGCGACGCCGCGUGAGGGAUGGAGGCCUUCGGGUUGUGAACCUCUUUCGCCAGUGAAGCAGGCCUGCCUCGUUUGUGGGUGGGUUGACGGUAGCUGGAUAAGAAGCGCCGGCUAACUACGUG